UACGAAGGGGGCUAGCGUUGUUCGGAAUUACUGGGCGUAAAGGGCGCGUAGGCAGUACUUCAAGUCAGGCGUGAAAGCCCCGGGCUCAACCUGGGAACCGCGCUUGAGACUGGAGAACUAGAGUUCGGGAGAGGAUGGUGGAAUUCCCAGUGUAGAGGUGAAAUUCGUAGAUAUUGGGAAGACCCCCGAUGGCGAAGGCAGCCAUCUGGACCGACACUGACGCUGAGGCGCGAAAGCGUGGGAGCAAACAGG
rnacentral:rRNA from 1 species